rnacentral:rRNA from 1 species
AUACGGGGGGGGCAAGCGUUGUCCGGAAUCAUUGGGCGUAAAGAGCACGUAGGCGGGCCUUCAAGUCGAGUGUGAAAUCCAACGGCUCAACCGUUUGGAAGCCGCUCGAUACUGGUAUGCUAGAAUUCGAGAGAGGGUAGUGGAAUUUCCAGUGUAGAGGUGAAAUUCGUAGAUAUUGGAAAGAACACCAGUGGCGAAGGCGGCUACCUGGCUCGAUAUUGACGCUGAGGUGCGAAAGCGUGGGGAGCGAACAGGAUUAGAAACCCCGGUAGUCC